rnacentral:rRNA from 1 species
AAACCAACCGGGAUUGCCUUAGUAACGGCGAGUGAAGCGGCAAAAGCUCAAAUUUGAAAUCUGGUACCUUCGGUGCCCGAGUUGUAAUUUGGAGAGGGCAACUUUGGGGCCGUUCCUCGUCUAUGUUCCUUGGAACAGGACGUCAUAGAGGGUGAGAAUCCCGUGUGGCGA